CUCUGUGUGGCUAAGAGUGAUCUAAGAGAAGUUAUUUCCUCAAGAUAUUUUGAAGCUGUAGUGUGGGGAAACAGUUCUCAAACCCCAGUGUGGAUCAGGAUCACCUGGAGGGCUUACUAAGCUACAUAUUGUUGGGUCCACCCCAGAGUUUCGAUUCAGUCGAUCAGGGGAUCAGAGGUGGGGCCUAAGAAUUUGCAUGUUUUUAACUCUUUUUUUUUUUUUUUUUUUUUGAGAUGGAGUCUCGCUCUGUCACCCAGGCUGGAGUACAGUGGCAAGAUCUCGACUCACUGCAACCUCUGCCUGCCGGGUUCAAGCAAUUCUCCUGGCUCAGCCUCCCAAGUAGCUGGGAUUACAGUGUACCACACCAAGGAACUCCCACACUCUGAAUGAACAGCCCAGUGAUCAGGAGCUUUGAAUCAAUUCUUGGCACCUAACAGUUUGUGAAGAGUCUGCUAAACUCCCUCUAUCAGAAAUCCCAGAGGACUGAGAACAGGUCAUCCUUGGAGCUGUAUCUGAAUGGAGUCAGGAUCUGGAAGCCCAAGUCUCCUUGUCAAUGUCUGCUUGGUUCCCAAGGACACCUGUAAAUGGAAGAGGGGCAUAGUACACAGAAGACAUUGCUGGCAAGUGUGGUCUCUUUACGAUCAGUUGGAGUACCAUCUAUAGUUAAACUGUAUAAAGGAAAAAAAUCCUAUGAGUCAGUUUCCAGACCUAUGAGUGCUUUGAAGAUUACAUCAAUGGAGUUCCAUAUAUUGAAACCACAAGCUUCCUGCCAAUUGUCUGGAUUUACAAAGAUCUAUUUCACUUUGAACUAAUGAGGAAGAACUCCCAAGGCUAUUAUCUAUAGACAUGCAUGAACUUUUAAGGGACAUUUAAAAGCCAGAUCUUUACCCCCAAUUUUUCUCCUAUCUUUAUAUAAACAUAACGGUUAAUAUAGAAAAGAAAGCUGAAUUACUAUUUACAUUGUUC
rnacentral:lncRNA from 10 species